AUACGGAGGAUCCGAGCGUUAUCCGGAUUUAUUGGGUUUAAAGGGUGCGCAGGCGGUCAUUUGAGUCAGCGGUUAAAUCGUGGGGCUCAACCCCAUUCUGCCGUUGAUACUGGGUGGCUUGAUUGCGGUCGAGGUUGGCGGAAUUCGUUGUGUAGCGGUGAAAUGCAUAGAUAUGACGAAGAACACCGAUUGCGUAGGCAGCUGACCAGACCGCAAAUGACGCUCAUGCACGAAAGUGCGGGGAUCGAACAGGAUUAGAUACCCUGGUAGUCCGCACAGUAAACGAUGAAUACUUGUUUUCGGCGAUAUAAUGUCGGAGGCAAAGCGAAAGCGAUAAGUAUUCCACCUGGGGAGUACGCCGGCAACGGUGAAACUCAAAGGAAUUGACGGGG
rnacentral:rRNA from 1 species